AAAGCUUCUUAAUCCAGGGGUGUCCAAACUUUUUUCAAAGAGAGCCAGAUUUGAUGAAGUGAACAUGCGUGAGGGCCGACCAUUUUGCCUGACAUUCUUUAAACCAUUAAAAUUAAACGCAAAUUAACUAUUUUA